rnacentral:rRNA from 1 species
GACGAACGCUGGCGGCGUGCUUAACGCAUGCAAGUCGAACGGAAAGGCCCUGCUUUUGUGGGGUGCUCGAGUGGCGAACGGGUGAGUAACACGUGAGUAACCUGCCCUUGACUUUGGGAUAACUUCAGGAAACUGGGGCUAAUACCGGAUAGGAGCUCCUGCUGCAUGGUGGGGGUUGGAAAGUUUCGGCGGUUGGGGAUGGACUCGCGGCUUAUCAGCUUGUUGGUGGGGUAGUGGCUUACCAAGGCUUUGACGGGUAGCCGGCCUGAGAGGGUGACCGGCCACAUUGGGACUGAGAUACGGCCCAGACUCCUACGGGGGGCAGCAGUGGGGAAUAUGGCACAAUGGGCGGAAGCCUGAUGCAGAAGCGCCGCGUGCGGGAUGACGGCCUUCGGGUUGUAAACCGCUUUCGCCUGUGACGAAGCGUGAGUGACGGUAAUGGGUAAAGAAGCACCGGCUAACUACGUG